AAUCAACGCUGGCGGCGUGCCUAACACAUGCAAGUCGAACGCGAAAGGGACUUCGGUUCUUAGUAGAGUGGCGUACGGGUGAGUAACGCGUGGGUCAUCUGCCCUCGGGUGGGGAAUAACUAACCGAAAGGUUAGCUAAUACCGCAUAACACAGUGAUGUCAAAGCAGCAAUGUGCCCGAGGAGGAGCCUGCGUCUGAUUAGGUAGUUGGUGGGGUAACGGCCUACCAAGCCUGCGAUCAGUAGCUGGUCUGAGAGGACGGCCAGUCACAAUGGCACUGAAACACGGGCCAUACGCCUACGGGAGGCAGCGGUGGGGUAUUUUGCGCCAGGGGCGAAAGCCUGACGCAGCAACGCCGCGUGAGGGAUGAAAUAUUUCGGUAUGUAAACCUCGCAAAUAUGGGAAGAACACAAUGACGGUACCAUAUUUAAGCCACGGCUAACUUCGUGCCAGCCGCCGCAGUAAAAC
rnacentral:rRNA from 1 species